rnacentral:lncRNA from 1 species
AAUCUAUACGCAACCGGACCAACUCGUUCGGAGAUUUCGUACGGCCUAAUGAAUCUCGGACUCAACUUGCCCUUACGGCCAAAUCUGAGUACCUUUUUCCAAGGCGAAACUUUAAGAAACACUUUAUCUCCCACCUGAUAUUCAAUGUCUUUUCGUUUCAAAUCCGCAUACGAUUUCUGACGAUCUGUGGCUGUCUUCAGACUUUCACAAAUU